rnacentral:lncRNA from 1 species
UAUAUAUAUAUAAAUAACAAAAAAACAAAAAAAAACUUAAAAAAACACUUACAAACAGGCAGAAUAAAACUAAAGAAAACUAAAAAGAGGAGAAAGGAUAGUGUAAACAAAAUAAAAAAACAGAAGGAAAAGAAUUUCUGAAAAAAAACACCCUAAUUAUAUAUAACAGAAAAAAACUAAAAAAACUAAUAAAAAAACUUAAAACAGGCAGAAAAAAAACUAGAGAAAACUAAAAAAAGAGAAAGGAUAGUAUAAACAAAAUUGAAAAAACAGAAAGAAAAGUAUAUCAGAAAAAACACCCCAAAUAUAUAGAAAAAACAAAAAAAAACAACAAAAAAACUUAAAACAGGCAGAAAAAAACUAAAGAAAACUAAAAAAGAGAAAGGAUAGUAUAAACAAAAUAAAAAAACAGAGGGAAAAGUAUUUCAGAAAAAAAGACCCUAAAUAUAUAGAAAAAACAAAAACAAAAAAAAAUUAAAACAGGUAGAAAAAAACUAAAGAAAACUAAAAAAGAGAAAGGAUAGUAUAAACAAAAUAAAAAAAACAGAAGGAAAAGUAUUUUAGAAAGGGAAACCCUUUAUAUUUAUAAAUAACAAAAAAACUAAAAAAAAACUUUAAACAUGCAGAAAAAAACUAAAGAAAACAAAGAAAAAGAAUAGUAUUUGUAAAAAAAAAAAAAAAAAGUAAAAUCACAGUAUUUCUGAAAAAAAAAACUUAAAACAGGCAGAAAAAUAAAAAAGAACUAUAGGAAACUAAAGAAAAGAAAAGUAUUUCUGAAAAAAAGGAACAAAAACCCACCCUAAACCGGGUGUUUUGGACAGAAAAAAAAACCCUUGCGGUUUUUCCCUCCCAUGUGAGGGUUUUUUCCCCUCCUUGAGCUACCACCUUACCGUGGUGGAGGGGUUUGUGUGUCCCAAUGAUCCCAGGAGCUAUGUUGUCAGGGCUUUAUGCCUCUGAAAGGUUACCCAAGGCAGCAGGUCCUGGGGUAGGGACCAGACUAAGAGUAGCUCAUCCAGACAGAGGUGCCAGGGAAAAAAAUAGGGAAAAAAACUGAAGAAAAAAAAAACUAAAGAAAACAAAAAAUAGAAAAAUUAAAACAGGCAGAAAAAAACUAAAGAAAACUAAUAAAAAGAAGAUUAGUAUUUCCAAAAAAACUUCAAAAAACUGAAAAAAAAACUUAGAACAGGCAGACAAAAACUAAAGAAAACUAAAAAAGAGAAAGGAUAGUAUAAACAAAAUAAAAAAAACAGAAGGAAAAGUAUUUCAGAAAAGAACACCCUUAAUAUAUAUAAAUAACAAAAAACUAAAAAAAACUUAAAACAGGCAGACAAAAACUAAAGAAAACUAAAAAAAGAAGAAAAAGAAUAGUAUUUCUAAAAAAACUUUAAAAAACUAAAAAAAAAUCUAAAAAAAAACUUAACAGGCAGAAAAAAACUAAAGUAAACUAAAAAAGGAGAAAGGAUAGUGUAAACAAAAUAAAAAAAACAGAAGGAAAAGUAUUUCAGAAAAAACACCCUAAAUAUAUAGAAAAAACAAAAAAAACUAAAAAAACAAAACAAAACUUAAAACAGGCAGAAAAAAACUAAAGAAAACUAAAAAAUUGAAAGGAUGGUAUAAACAAAAUAAAAAAACAGAAGGAAAAGUAUAUCUGAAAAACACACCCUAAAUAUAUUUAUAAAUAAAAAAAACUAAAAAAAAACUAAUAAAAAAACUUAAAACAGGCAGAAAAAAACUAGAGAAAACUAAAAAAAGAGAAAGGAUAGUAUAAACAAAAUUGAAAAAACAGAAAGAAAAGUAUAUCAGAAAAAAUACCCCAAAUAUAUAGAAAAAAAAAAAAAAAAAACUUAAAACAGGCAGAAAAAAACUAAAGAAAACUAAAAAAUAGAAAGGAUAGUAUAAACAAAAUAAAAAAACAGAGGGAAAAGUAUUUCAGAAAAAAAGACCCUAAAUAUAUAGAAAAAACAAAAAAAACUAAAAAAACAAAACAAAACUUAAAACAGGCAGAAAAAAACUAAAGAAAACUAAAAAAUAGAAAGGAUGGUAUAAACAAAAUAAAAAAACAGAAGGAAAAGUAUAUCGGAAAAACACACCCUAAAUAUAUUUAUAAAUAAAAAAAACUAAAAAAAAACUAAAAAAAAAACUUUAAACAGGCAGAAAAAAACUAAAGAAAACUAAAAAUAGUAUAAACAAAAUUAAAAAACAGAAGGAAAAGUAUUUCUGAAAAAACACCCUAAAUAUAUUACAAAAAGAACUAAAAAAAACUUUAAAAAAAACUUAAAACAGGCAGAAAAAUCUAAAGUAAACAAAAAAAGGAGAAAGGAUAUUAUAAACAAAAUAAAAAAAAAGAAGGAAAAGUAUUUCUGAUAAAACACCCUUAAUAUAUUACAAAAAGAACUAAAAAACUAAAAGAAAAACUUAAAACAGGCAGACAAAACACUAAAGAAAAUUAAAAAAAGAGAAAGGAUAGUAUAAACAAAAUAAAAAAACAGAAGGAAAAGUAUUUCAGAAAAAAACACCCUAAAUAUAUAGAAAAAACUAAAAAAAAAAAUUAAAACAUGAAGAAAAAAAUGAAGAAAACUACAAAAGAGAAAGGAUAGUUAAAACAAAAUAAAAAAAAACAGAAAGAAAAGUAUAUCAGAAAAAAACACCCUAAAUAUAUAGAAAAAAAGAAAAAAAAAACAAAAAAAAAUUAAAACAGGCAGAAAAAAAACUAAAGAAAACUAAAAAAAGAGAAAGGAUAGUAUAAACAAAAUAAAAAACAUAAGGAAAAGUAUUUCAGAAAAGAACACCCUUAAUAUAUAUAAAUAACAAAAAACUAAAAAAAACUUAAAACAGGCAGAAAAAAACUAAAGAAAACUAAAAAAAGAAGAAAAAGAAUAGUAUUUCUAAAAAAAACUUUAAAAAACUAAAAAAAAUCUAAAAAAAAACUUAACAGGCAGAAAAAAACUAAAGUAAACUAAAAAAGGAGAAAGGAUAGUGUAAACAAAAUAAAAAAAAACAGAAGGAAAAGUAUUUCAGAAAAAACACCCUAAAUAUAUAGAAAAAACAAAAAAAAACUAAAAAAACAAAACAAAACUUAAAACAGGCAGAAAAAAACUAAAGAAAACUAAAAAAUAGAAAGGAUGGUAUAAACAAAAUAAAAAAACAGAAGGAAAAGUAUAUCUGAAAAAAACACCCUAAAUAUAUUUAUAAAUAAAAAAAAACUAAAAAAAAACAAAAAAAAAACUUUAAACAGGCAGAAAAAAACUAAAGAAAACUAAAAAUAGUAUAAACAAAAUUAAAAAACAGAAGGAAAAGUAUUUCUGAAAAAACACCCUAAAUAUAUUACAAAAAGAACUAAAAAAAACUUUUAAAAAACUUAAAACAGGCAGAAAAAUCUAAAGUAAACUAAAAAAGGAGAAAGGAUAUUAUAAACAAAAUAAAAAAAAGAAGGAAAAGUAUUUCUGAUAAAACACCCUUAAUAUAUUACAAAAAUAACUAAAAAAACUAAAAGAAAAACUUAAAACAGGCAGACAAAAAACUAAAGAAAAUUAAAAAAAGAGAAAGGAAAGUAUAAACAAAAUAAAAAAAACAGAAGGAAAAGUAUUUCAGAAAAAAACACCCUAAAUAUAUAGAAAAAACUAAAAAAAAAAUUAAAACAUGAAGAAAAAAAUGAAGAAAACUACAAAAGAGAAAGGAUAGUUAAAACAAAAUAAAAAAAAACAGAAAGAAAAGUAUAUCAGAAAAAAACACCCUAAAUAUAUAGAAAAAACAAAAAAAAAACAAAAAAAAAUUAAAACAGGCAGAAAAAAAACUAAAGAAAACUAAAAAAAAGAGAAAGGAUAGUAUAAACAAAAUAAAAAACAGAAGGAAAAGUAUUUCAGAAAAGAACAACCUAUAUAUAUAUAUAUAUAAAUAACAAAAAAAAACUUAAAAAAAACUUAAAAACAGGCAGAAUAAAACUAAAGAAAACUAAAAAAGAAGAAAAAGAAUAGUAUUUCUAAAAAAACGUUAAAAAAAUAAAAAAAACUUAAAACAGGCAGAAAAAACUAAAGUAAACUAAAAAAAGGAGAAAGGAUAGUGUAAACAAAAUUAAAAAAACAGAAGGAAAAGUAUUUCUGAAAAAAAACACCCUAAAUAUAUAUAACAAAAAGAACUAAAAAAACUAAAAGAAAGGAUAGGAUAAAGGAUAGAAAGGAUGGUAUAAACAAAAUAAAAAAAAAAAACAGAAGGAAAAGUAUUUCAGAAAAGAAAAACCUAUAUAUAUAUAUAAAUAACAAAAAAACUGAAAAAAAAACUAAAAAAAACCCUUAAAAACAGGCAGAAUAAAACUAAAGAAAACUAAAAAAAGAAGAAAAAGAAUAGUAUUUCUAAAAAAAACUUUAAAAAACUAAAAAAAAACUUAAAACAGGCAGAAAAAACUAAAGUAAACUAAAAAGAGGAGAAAGGAUAGUGUAAACAAAAUAAAAAAACAGAAGGAAAAGAAUUUCUGAAAAAAAAACACCCUAAUUAUAUAUAACAGAAAAAAACUAAAAAAACUAAUAAAAAAACUUAAAACAGGCAGAAAAAAAACUAGAGAAAACUAAAAAAAGAGAAAGGAUAGUAUAAACAAAAUUGAAAAAACAGAAAGAAAAGUAUAUCAGAAAAAACACCCGAAAUAUAUAGAAAAAACAAAAAAACAAAAAAACAAAAACUUAAAACAGGCAGAAAAAAACUAAAGAAAUAAAGGAUAGAAAGGAUGGUAUAAACAAAAUAAAAAAAAAACAGAAGGAAAAGUAUUUCAGAAAAGAACAACCUAUAUAUAUAUAUAAAUAACAAAAAAACUGAAAAAAACCUAAAAAAAAACCUUAACAACAGGCAGAAUAAAACUAAAGAAAACUAAAAAAAGAAAAAAAAGAAUAGUAUUUCUAAAAAAAACUUUUAAAAACUAAAAAAAAAACUUAAAACAGGCAGAAAAAAACUAAAGUAAACUAAAAAGAGGAGAAAGGAUAGUGUAAACAAAAUAAAAAAACAGAAGGAAAAGAAUUUCUGAAAAAAAACCACCCUAAUUAUAUAUAACAGAAAAAAACUAAAAAAACUAAUAAAAAAACUUAAAACAGGCAGAAAAAAACUAGAGAAAACUAAAAAAAGAGAAAGGAUAGUAUAAACAAAAUUGAAAAAACAGAAAGAAAAGUAUAUCAGAAAAAAUACCCCAAAUAUAUAGAAAAAAAAAAAAAAAAAAACUUAAAACAGGCAGAAAAAAACUAAAGAAAACUAAAAAAUAGACAGGAUAGUAUAAACAAAAUAAAAAAACAGAGGGAAAAGUAUUUCAGAAAAAAAGACCCUAAAUAUAUAGAAAAAACAAAAAAGACAAACAAAAAAAACUUAAAACAGGUAGAAAAAAACUAAAGAAAACUAAAAAAGAGAAAGGAUAGUAUAAACAAAAUAAAAAAAACAGAAGGAAAAGUAUUUUAGAAAGGAAAACCCUUUAUAUUUAUAAAUAACAAAAAAAACAAAAAAAAACUUUAAACAUGCAGAAAAAAACUAAAGAAAACAAAGAAAAAGAAUAGUAUUUGUAAAAAAAAAAAAGUAAAAAAAAAAGUAAAAUCACAGUAUUUCUGAAAAAAAAAACUUAAAACAGGCAGAAAAAUAAAAAAGAACUAUAGGAAACUAAAGAAAUGAAAAGUAUUUCUGAAAAAAAAGAACAAAAACCCACCCUAAACCGGUUGUUUUGGACAGAAAAAAAAACCCUCGGGUUUUUCCCUCCCAUGUGAGGGUUUUUUCCCCUCCUUGAGCUACCACCUUACCGUGGUGGAGGGGUUUGUGUGUCCCAAUGAUCCCAGGAGCUAUGUUGUCAGGGCUUUAUGCCUCUGAAAGGUUACCCAAGGCAAACAGGUCCUGGGGGAGGGACCAGACUAAGAGUAGCUCAUCCAGACAGAGGUGCCAGGCAAAAAAAUAGGAAAAAAAAACUGAAGAAAAAAAACUAAAGAAAACAAAAAACAGAAAAAUUAAAACAGGCAGAAAAAAACUAAAGAAAAAUAAUAAAAAGAAGAUUAUUAUUUCUAAAAAAAACUUCAAAAAACUAAAAAAAAACUUAGAACAGGCAGACAAAAACUAAAAAAAACAGAAGGAACAGUAUUUCUGAAAAAACACCCUAAAUAUAUUACAAAAAGAACUAAAAAAAACUUUAAAAAAACUUAAAACAGGCAGAAAAAUCUAAAGUAAACUAAAAAAGGAGAAAGGAUAUUAUAAACAAAAUAAAAAAAAGAAGGAAAAGUAUUUCUGAUAAAACACCCUUAAUAUAUUACAAAAAUAACUAAAAAAACUAAAAGAAAAACUUAAAACAGGCAGACAAAAAACUAAAGAAAAUUAAAAAAAGAGAAAGGAUAGUAUAAACAAAAUAAAAAAAACAGAAGGAAAAGUAUUUCAGAAAAAAACACCCUAAAUAUAUAGAAAAAACUAAAAAAAAAAUUAAAACAUGAAGAAAAAAAUGAAGAAAACUACAAAAGAGAAAGGAUAGUUAAAACAAAAUAAAAAAAAACAGAAAGAAAAGUAUAUCAGAAAAAAGCACCCUAAAUAUAUAGAAAAAACAAAAAAAAAAAAAAAAAAAUUAAAACAGGCAGAAAAAAAACUAAAGAAAACUAAAAAAAAGAGAAAGGCUAGUAUAAACAAAAUAAAAAACAGAAGGAAAAGUAUUUCAGAAAAGAACAACAUAUAUAUAUAUAAAUAACAAAAAAACAAAAAAAACUUAAAAAAACACUUACAAACAGGCAGAAUAAAACUAAAGUAAACUAAAAAAGAAGAAAAAGAAUAGUAUUUCUAAAAAAACGUUAAAAAAAUAAAAAAAAACUUAAAACAGGCAGAAAAAACUAAAGUAAACUAAAAAAAGGAGAAAGGAUAGUGUAAACAAAAUUAAAAAAACAGAAGGAAAAAUAUUUCUGAAAAAAAACACCCUAAAUAUAUAUAACAAAAAGAACUAAAAAAACUAAAAGAAAGGAUAGGAUAAAGGAUAGAAAGGAUGGUAUAAACAAAAUAAAAAAAAAAAACAGAAGGAAAAGUAUUUCAGAAAAGAACAACCUAUAUAUAUAUAUAAAUAACAAAAAAACUGAAAAAAAAACUAAAAAAAACCCUUAAAAACAGGCAGAAUAAAACUAAAGAAAACUAAAAAAAGAAGAAAAAGAAUAGUAUUUCUAAAAAAAACUUUUAAAAACUAAAAAAAAACUUAAAACAGGCAGAAAAAACUAAAGUAAACUAAAAAGAGGAGAAAGGAUAGUGUAAACAAAAUAAAAAACAGAAGGAAAAGAAUUUCUGAAAAAAAAAACACCCUAAUUAUAUAUAACAGAAAAAAACUAAAAAAACUAAUAAAAAAACUUAAAACAGGCAGAAAAAAAACUAGAGAAAACUAAAAAAAGAGAAAGGAUAGUAUAAACAAAAUUGAAAAAACAGAAAGAAAAGUAUAUCAGAAAAAACACCCCAAAUAUAUAGAAAAAAAAAAAAAAAAAAAAAAAAAAAACUUAAAACAGGCAGAAAAAAACUAAAGAAAUAAAGGAUAGAAAGGAUGGUAUAAACAAAAUAAAAAAAAAACAGAAGGAAAAGUAUUUCAGAAAAGAACAACCUAUAUAUAUAUAUAAAUAACAAAAAAACUGAAAAAAAACUAAAAAAACCCUUAAAAACAGGCAGAAUAAAACUAAAGAAAACUAAAAAAAGAAGAAAAAGAAUAGUAUUUCUAAAAAAAACUUUUAAAAACUAAAAAAAAACUUAAAACAGGCAGAAAAAACUAAAGUAAACUAAAAAGAGGAGAAAGGAUAGUGUAAACAAAAUAAAAAAACAGAAGGAAAAGAAUUUCUGAAAAAAAACCACCCUAAUUAUAUAUAACAGAAAAAAACUAAAAAAACUAAUAAAAAAACUUAAAACAGGCAGAAAAAAACUAGAGAAAACUAAAAAAAGAGAAAGGAUAGUAUAAACAAAAUUGAAAAAACAGAAAGAAAAGUAUAUCAGAAAAAAUACCCCAAAUAUAUAUAAAAAAAAAAAAAAAAAAACUUAAAACAGGCAGAAAAAAACUAAAGAAAACUAAAAAAUAGAAAGGAUAGUAUAAACAAAAUAAAAAAACAGAGGGAAAAGUAUUUCAGAAAAAAAGACCCUAAAUAUAUAGAAAAAACAAAAAAGACAAACAAAAAAAACUUAAAACAGGUAGAAAAAAACUAAAGAAAACUAAAAAAGAGAAAGGAUAGUAUAAACAAAAUAAAAAAAACAGAAGGAAAAGUAUUUUAGAAAGGAAAACCCUUUAUAUUUAUAAAUAACAAAAAAAACAAAAAAAAACUUUAAACAUGCAGAAAAAAACUAAAGAAAACAAAGAAAAAGAAUAGUAUUUGUAAAAAAAAAAAAAGUAAAAAAAAAAAGUAAAAUCACAGUAUUUCUGAAAAAAAAAACUUAAAACAGGCAGAAAAAUAAAAAAGAACUAUAGGAAACUAAAGAAAAUAAAAGUAUUUCUGAAAAAAAAGAACAAAAACCCACCCUAAACCGGUUGUUUUGGACAGAAAAAAAAACCCUUGCGGUUUUUCCCUCCCAUGUGAGGGUUUUUUCCCCUCCUUGAGCUACCACCUUACCGUGGUGGAGGGGUUUGUGUGUCCCAAUGAUCCCAGGAGCUAUGUUGUCAGGGCUUUAUGCCUCUGAAAGGUUACCCAAGGCAAACAGGUCCUGGGGGAGGGACCAGACUAAGAGUAGCUCAUCCAGACAGAGGUGCCAGGCAAAAAAAUAGGAAAAAAAAACUGAAGAAAAAAAACUAAAGAAAACAAAAAACAGAAAAAUUAAAACAGGCAGAAAAAAACUAAAGAAAACUAAUAAAAAGAAGAUUAUUAUUUCUAAAAAAAACUAAAAAAAACUAAAAAAAAACUUAGAACAGGCAGACAAAAACUAAAAAAAACAGAAGGAACAGUAUUUCUGAAAAAACACCCUAAAUAUAUUACAAAAAGAACAAAAAAAAACUAAAAAAUAAAAUUAAAACAGGCAGAAAAAACUAAAGUAAACUAAAAAAGGAGAAAGGAUAUUAUAAACAAAAUAAAAAAAACAGAAGUAUUUCUGAUAAAACACCCUAAAUAUAUUACAAAAGUAACUAAAAAAACCUAAAAAAAACCACUUAAAACAGGCAGACAAAAAACUAAAGAAAAUUAAAGAAAGAGAAAGGAUAGUAUAAACAAAAUAAAAAAAACAGAAGGAAAAGUAUUUCAGAAAAAACACCCUAAAUAUAUAGAAAAAACUAAAAAACUAAAAAAACUAAAAAAAAACUUAAAACAGGCAGAAAAAAACUAAAGAAAACUAAAAAAGAGAAAGGAUGGUAUAAACAAAAUAAAAAAACAGAAGGAAAAGUAUUUUAGAAAGGAAAACCCUUAAUAUUUAUAAAUAACAAAAAAAAACUAAAAAACAACUUUAAACAUGCAGAAAAAAACUAAAGAAAACUAAAAAAGAAGAAAAAGAAUAGUUUUUCUAAUAAAAAAUUAAAACAGGCAGAAAAAAAACUAAAGAAAACUAAAAAAAAGAGAAAGGAUAGUAUAAACAAAAUAAAAAAAACAGAAGGAAAAGUAUUUCAGAAAAGAACAACCUAUAUAUAUAAAUAACAAAAAACUAAAAAAAAACUAAAAAAAACUUAAAAACAGGAAGAAUAAAACUAAAGAAAAUUAAAAAAGAAGAAAAGGAUAGUAUUUCUAAAAAAAAAACUUUAAAAAACUAAAAAAAACUAAAAAACAACCUUAAAACAGGCAGAAAAAAACUAAAGUUAACCAAAAAAAGGAGAAAGGAUAGUGUAAACAAAAUUAAAAAAACAGAAGGAAAAGUAUUUCUGAAAAAAAACACCCUAAAUAUAUAUAACAAAAAGAACUAAAAAAACUAAAAGAAAGGAUAGGAUAAAGGAUAGAAGGAUAGAAAGGAUAGUAUAAACAAAAUAAAAAAACACAAGGAAAAGUAUUUCAGAAAAGAACAACCUAUAUAUAUACACUCACCGGCCACUUUAUUAGGUACACCAUGCUAGUAACGGGUUGGACCCCCUUUUGCCUUCAGAACUGCCUCAAUUCUUCGUGGCAUAGAUUCAACAAGGUGCUGGAAGCAUUCCUCAGAGAGCUUGGUCCAUAUUGACAUGAUGGCAUCACACAGUUGCCGCAGAUUUGUCGGCUGCACAUCCAUGAUGCGAAUCUCCCGCUCCACCACAUCCCAAAGAUGCUCUAUUGGAUUGAGAUCUGGUGACUGUGGAGGCCAUUUGAGUACAGUGAACUCAUUGUCAUGUUCAAGAAACCAGUCUGAGAUGAUUCCAGCUUUAUGACAUGGCGCAUUAUCCUGCUGAAAGUAGCCAUCAGAAGUUGGGUACAUUGUGGUCAUAAAGGGAUGGACAUGGUCAGCAACAAUACUCAGGUAGGCUGUGGCGUUGCAACGAUGCUCAAUUGGUACCAAGGGGCCCAAAGAGUGCCAAGAAAAUAUUCCCCACACCAUGACACCACCACCACCAGCCAGAACUGUUGAUACAAGGCAGGAUGGAUCCAUGCUUUCAUGUUGUUGACGCCAAAUUCUGACCCUACCAUCCGAAUGUCGUAGCAGAAAUCGAGACUCAUCAGACCAGGCAACGUUUUUCCAAUCUUCAUUGUCCAAUUUCGAUGAGCUUGUGCAAAUUGUAGCCUCAGUUUCCUGUUCUUAGCUGAAAGGAGUGGCACCUGGCGUGGUCUUCUGCUGCUGUAGCCCAUCUGCCUCAAAGUUCGAUGUACUGUGCGUUCAGAGAUGCUCUUCUGCCUACCUUGGUUGUAACGGGUGGUUAUUUGAGUCACUGUUGCCUUUCUAUCAGCUCAAACCAGUCUGGCCAUUCUCCUCUGACCUCUGGCAUCAACAAGGCAUUUCCGCCCACAGAACUGCCGCUCACUGGAUAUUUUUUCUUUUUCGGACCAUUCUCUGUAAACCCUAGAGAUGGUUGUGCGUGAAAAUCCCAGUAGAUCAGCAGUUUCUGAAAUACUCAGACCAGCCCUUCUGGCACUAACAACCAUGCCACGUUCAAAGUCACUCAAAUCACCUUUCUUCCCCAUACUGAUGCUCGGUUUGAACUGCAGGAGAUUGUCUUGACCAUGUCUACAUGCCUAAAUGCACUAAGUUGCCGCCAUGUGAUUGGCUGAUUAGAAAUUAAGUGUUAACGAGCAGUUGGACAGGUGUACCUAAUAAAGUGGCCAGUGAGUGUAUAUAAAUAACAAAAAACUGAAAAAAAACUAAAAAAAAACCUUAAAAACAGGCAGAAUAAAACUAAAGAAAACUAAAAAAAAGGAGAAAAAGAAUAGUAUUUGAGAAAAAAAACACCCUAAAUAUAUAGAAAAAAAAAAAAAAAAAAAAAAACUUAAAACAGGGAGAAAAAAACUAAAGAAAACUAAAAAAGAGAAAGGAUAUUAUAAACAAAAUGAAAAAAAAGAAGGAAAAGUAUUUCAGAAAAGAACACCCUUAAUAUAUAUAAAUAACAACAAGAAAAAAACUAAAAAACAACCUUAAAACAGGUUGUUUAUAUAUAUAAAUAACAAAAAACUGAAAAAAACCUAAAAAAACCCUUAAAAACAGGCAGAAUAAAACUAAAGAAAACUAAAAAAAGAAGAAAAAGAAUAGUAUUUCUAAAAAAAAACUUUAAAAAACUAAAAAAAAACACUUAAAACAGGCAGACAAAAAACUAAAGAAAAUUAAAGAAAGAGAAAGGAUAGUAUAAACAAAAUAAAAAAAACAGAAGGAAAAGUAUUUCAGAAAAAAACACCCUAAAUAUAUAGAAAAAACUAAAAAACUAAAAAAACUAAAAAAAACUUAAAACAGGCAGAAAAAAACUAAAGAAAACUAAAAAAGAGAAAGGAUAGUAUAAACAAAAUAAAAAAAACAGAAGGAAAAGUAUUUCUGAUAAAACACCCUAAAUAUAUUACAAAAAGAACUAAAAAAAACUAAAAAAAAAAAAACUAAAAACAGGCAGACAAAAAACUAAAGAAAAUUAAAAAAAGAGAAAGGAUAGUGUAAACAAAAUAAAAAAAACAGAAGGAAAAGUAUUUGAGAAAAAAAACACCCUAAAUAUAUAGAAAAAACAAAAAAAACUUAAAACAGGCAGAAAAAAACUAAAGAAAACUAAAAAAGAGAAAGGAUAGUAUAAACAAAAUAAAAAAAACAGAAGGAAAAGUAUUUCAGAAAAGAACAACCUAUAUAUAUAUAAAUAACAACAAGAAAAAAAAACUAAAAAACAACCUUAAAACAGGCAGAAAAAAACUAAAGAAACCUAAAAAAAGAAGAAAAAGAAUAGUAUUUCUAAAACAAACUUUAAAAAACUAAAAAAAAUCUAAAAAAAAAACUUAAAACAGGCAGAAAAAACUAAAGUAAACUAAAAAAGGAGAAAGGAUAUUAUAAACAAAAUAAAAAAACAGAAGGAAAAGUAUUUCUGAUAAAACACCCUAAAUAUAUUACAAAAAGAACUAAAAAAAAAACUAAAAAAAAAAACUAAAAACAGGCAGACAAAAAACUAAAGAAAAUUAAAAAAAAAGAGAAAGGACAGUGUAAACAAAAUAAAAAAAAACAGAAGGAAAACUAUUUCUGAAAAAAAACACCCUAAAUAUAUAUAACAAAAAGAACUAAAAAAACUAAUAAAAACAUCUUAAAACAGGCAGACAAAAAACUAAAGAAAACUAAAUAAAGAGAAAUGAUAGUAUAAACAAUAUUAAAAAAAACAGAAAGAAAAGUAUAUCAGAAAAAACACCCUAAAUAUAUAGAAAAAAAACAAAAAAAAACUAAAAAAAAAACUUAAAACAGGCAGAAAAAAACUAAAGAAAACUAAAAAAGAGAAAGGAUUGUAUAAACAAAAUAAAACAAAACAGAAGGAAAAGUAUUUCAGAAAAAAACACCCUAAAUAUAUAGAAAAAAAAAAAAAAAAAAAAAAAACUUAAAACAGGUAGAAAAUACUAAAGAAAACUAAAAAAGAGAAAGGAUAGUAUAAACAAAAUAAAAAAACAGAAGGAAAAGUAUUUCAGAAAGGAAAACCCUUAAUAUUUAUAAAUGACAAAAAAAACUAAAGAAAACUGAGAAAAAGAAUAGUAUUCGUAAAAAAAAAAACUAAAAAAAAAAAAGAAACAUCACAGUAUUUCUGAAAAAAAACUUAAAACAGGCAGAAAAAUAAAAAAGAACUAUAGGAAACUAAAGAAAUGAAAAGUAUUUCCGAAAAAAAAGAACAAAAACCCACCCUAAACCGGGUGUUUUGCACAGAAAAAAAAACCCUUGCGGUUUUUCCCUCCCAUGUGAGGGUUUUUUCCCCUCCUUGAGCUACCACCUUACCGUGGUGGAGGGGUUUGUGUGUCCCAAUGAUCCCAGGAGCUAUGUUGUCAGGGCUUUAUGCCUCUGAAAGGUUACCCAAGGCAGCAGGUCCUGGGGGAGGGACCAGACUAAGAGUAGCUCAUCAAGAAAGAGGUGCCAGGCAAAAAAAUAGGAAAAAAAACUGAAGAAAAAAAAACUAAAGGAAACAAAAAACAAAACAAUUAAAACAGGCAGAAAAAAACUAAAGAAAACUAAUAAAAAGAAGAUUAGUAUUUCUAAAAAAAACUUCAAAAAACUAAAAAAAAACUUAUAACAGGCAGACAAAAACUAAAGAAAACUAAAAAGGAGAAAGGAUAGUAUAAACAAAAUAAAAAAAAGAAGGAAAAGUAUUUCAGAAAAAAACAACCUAUAUAUAUAUAUAAAUAACAAAAAACUGAAAAAAACCUUAAAAAAAACCUUAAAAACAGGCAGAAUAAAACUAAAGAAAACUAAAAAAAGAAAAAAAAGAAUAGUAUUUCUAAAAAAAACUUUAAAAAACUAAAAAAAACUAAAAAAAAAACUUAAAACAGGCAGAAAAAAACUAAAGUGAACUAAAAAGAGGAGAAAGGAUAGUGUAAACAAAAUAAAAAAACAGAAGGAAAACUAUUUCCGAAAAAAAAACACCCUAAAUAUAUAUAACAAAAAGAACUAAAAAAACUAAUAAAAAAAACUUAAAACAGGCAGACAAAAAACUAAAGAAAACUAAAAAAAGAGAAAGGAUAGUAUAAACAAAAUUAAAAAAACAGAAAGAAAAGUAUAUCAGAAAAAACACCCUAAAUAUAUAGAAAAAACAAAAAAAAAUUAAAACAGGCAGAAAAAAACUGAAGAAAACUAAAAAAGAGAAAGGAUAGUAUAAACAAAAUAAAAAAACAGAAGGAAAAGUAUUUCAGAAAAGAACAACCUAUAUAUAUAUAAAUAAUAAAAAAAGAAAAAAAAAACUAAAAAAAAAACUUAAAAACAGGCAGGAUAAAACUAAAGAAAACUAAAAAAGAAGAAAAAGAAUAGUAUUUUCUAAAAAAACUUUAAAAAACUAAAAAAACUAAAAAAAACUUAAAACAGGCAGAAAAAAACUAAAGUAAACUAAAAAAAGGAGAAAGGAUAGUGUAUACAAAAUUUAAAAAACAGAAGGAAAAGUAUUUCUGAAAAAAAACACCCUAAAUAUAUAUAACAAAUAGAAUUAAAAAAAACAAAAGAAAGGAUAGGAUAAAGGAUAGAAGGAUAGAAAGGAUAGUAUAAACAAAAUAAAAAAACAGAAGGAAAAGUAUUUCAGAAAAGAACAACCUAUAUAUAUAUAAAUAACAAAAAAACUGAAAAAAACCUGAAAAAAACCCUUAAAAACAGGCAGAAUAAAACUAAAGAAAACUAAAAAAAGAAGAAAAAGAAUAGUAUUUCUAAAAAAACUUUAAAAAACUAAAAAAAAAACUUAAAACAGGCAGAAAAAAACUAAAGUAAACUAAAAAGAGGAGAAAGGAUAGUGUAAACAAAAUAAAAAAAAACAGAAGGAAAAGUAUUUCUGAAAAAAACACCCUAAUUAUAAAAAACAAAAAGAACUCAAAAAACUAAUACAAAAAACUUAAAACAGGCAGACAAAAAACUAAAGAAAAUUAAAAAAAGAGAAAGGAUAGUAUAAACAAAAUUAAAAAAACAGAAAGAAAGGUAUAUCAGAAAAAAC